CGGCCUGGAGCGCCCGAACCGCUGCGAUCGGCCAGCCCCAGCCCUCCUCUGGCUGGGAGAGUCCGAACUAUGUGCUGUAUGUACUUCAUAUUUGGUCCUUAAGAGAUGGACCACACAGUUAAUUUGGGAGAUCUAAAGAACAAAGCAUCCUGCCACAUGCUGGGAAUACCUGAGCCUGUGAAGGCAAUUCCUCACCCUCAUCACUAUGUCUGCUGGCUUUUGUCACUGUGGGUCUGCCAAAGGUGAGUUAUUCUGACAACAGGUGGCUUUUCCUGAGCAUCCAUCCUGGGAGAAAAUAAGGAUGCAGGCACAAGGCAGGCAAGGGAUUAAACUCAUCUUGUGGUCAGG